rnacentral:rRNA from 1 species
GACGAACGCUGGCGGGGUGCUUAACACAUGCAAGUCGAGCGGAGCGGAGAACGGGAGAGUAACGCGUGAGGAACUGCCCCCGUCUCUGGGAUAACAGAUGGAAACGGCUGCUACUACCGGAUAGUGGGGGAUGACUCGAGUCCUAUCAGCUUGUUGGUGGGGUAGUGGCCUACCAAGGCGACGACGGGUAGCCGGCCUGAGAGGGCGACCUGCCACAGUGGGCUGAGAUACCGCACAAAUUCCCACGGGAGGCCGUCGUGGGGAACAGUGCUGAAUAGGGGACACCGUGUUGCAGCAUCGCGCGGGCGCGGUGCCGCACUUGGUUUUUUACACCGCUUUUAGCCAUGAGCCGGUACUGGCAGAAGAAACUAUGGCUAACUUCGUGCCAGCCGCCGCGGUAAUAC